GAUGAAGAACGCAGCGAAAUGCGAUAAGUAAUGUGAAUUGCAGAAUUCAGUGAAUCAUCGAAUCUUUGAACGCACAUUGCGCCCGCCAGUAUUCUGGCGGGCAUGCCUGUCCGAGCGUCAUUUCAACCCUCGAACCCCUCCGGGGGGUCGGCGUUGGGGAUCGGCACUUACCUGCCGGCCCCGAAAUACAGUGGCGGUCUCGCCGCAGCCUCUCCUGCGCAGUAGUUUGCACACUCGCACCGGGAGCGCGGCGCGUCCACGGCCGUAAAACAACCCAAACUUCUGAAAUGUUGACCUCGGAUCAGGUAGGAAUACCCGCUGAACUUAAGCAUAUCAAUAAGCGGAGG
rnacentral:misc_RNA from 1 species